CCUACGGGGUGCAGCAGUGAGGAAUAUUGGUCAAUGGACGGAAGUCUGAACCAGCCAUGCCGCGUGCAGGAAGACGGCUCUAUGAGUUGUAAACUGCUUUUGUACAAGGGUAAACCUGAAUACGUGUAUUCAGCUGAAAGUACUGUACGAAUAAGGAUCGGCUAACUCCGUGCCAGCAGCCGCGGUAAUACGGAGGAUCCAAGCGUUAUCCGGAUUUAUUGGGUUUAAAGGGUGCGUAGGCGGAUUGAUAAGUUAGAGGUGAAAUGUCCGAGCUUAACUCGGGAACUGCCUCUAAUACUGUUGAUCUAGAGAGUAGAUGCGGUAGGCGGAAUGUAUGGUGUAGCGGUGAAAGGCUUAGAGAUCAUACAGAACACCGAUUGCGAAGGCAGCUUACCAAUCUAUAUCUGACGUUGAGGCACGAAAGCGUGGGGAGCAAACAGGAUUAGAUACCCCUGUAGUC
rnacentral:rRNA from 1 species